rnacentral:rRNA from 1 species
UGGGGAAUAUUGGACAAUGGGCGAAAGCCUGAUCCAGCCAUGCCGCGUGUGUGAAGAAGGUCUUCGGAUUGUAAAGCACUUUAAGUUGGGAGGAAGGGCAGUAAGCGAAUACCUUGCUGUUUUGACGUUACCGACAGAAUAAGCACCGGCUAACUCUGUGCCAGCAGCCGCGGUAAUACAGAGGGUGCAAGCGUUAAUCGGAAUUACUGGGCGUAAAGCGCGCGUAGGCGGCUGAUUAAGUCGGAUGUGAAAUCCCUGAGCUUAACUUAGGAAUUGCAUUCGAUACUGGUCAGCUAGAGUAUGGGAGAGGAUGGUAGAAUUCCAGGUGUAGCGGUGAAAUGCGUAGAGAUCUGGAGGAAUACCGAUGGCGAAGGCAGCCAUCUGGCCUAACACUGACGCUGAGGUACGAAAGCAUGGGGAGCAAACAGG